CGUGUAGGCGGGGAUGCAAGUCAGAUGUGAAAUUCCGGGGCUCAACCCCGGCGCUGCAUCUGAAACUGUAUCUCUUGAGUGCUGGAGAGGAAAGCGGAAUUCCUAGUGUAGCGGUGAAAUGCGUAGAUAUUAGGAGGAACACCAGUGGCGAAGGCGGCUUUCUGGACAGUAACUGACGCUGAGGCGCGAAAGCGUGGGGAGCGAACA
rnacentral:rRNA from 1 species